rnacentral:siRNA from 1 species
CACGGUCGUUCCAACUCCUCUCUU